GACCACCCGGUGCGCGUUCUUCCCGCCCUCUUCCCGGACUAGGACGUGGGGGCGGGGGCGCAGCCCCGGGGCGAGGGGAGUGGAGCGAGGGCAGGGUGCGCUCGCGUCGGGGUCGUGCCCACGCUGGCCCGGGCGACCCCACUCGCACCGGCCCCUGCCCACUCCCCGGGGCGAUGCUCCAGCCGAGCGGCCCGCGUCCCCCAGGUCAAGGAUGCCCCUGGAUCCGGGCCUGGCUUCCGGAACGUAUUCCCGCCUGCCUUAACUCAUUCACUCGGGCGUUCAUUCAGGCAUUGAUUCGGGCAUCCUACAGACCGAGGAUCGUCCGGACAGCUGUUCGCCCCUGCCUGGGCGGGGCCUGAGCGUGCCUGGAAACGCAGGGGCUGCACCUGGGCUGCCGCGUGCGGAGAGGACACCAGGCAAACAGUGAAUGCCUAUCUAAGGGUCGGAUCCUGAGAGGGUCGCGCAAGCACGGGACGGUUAAUAAAGUAAGCAGGGGUAUGGAGUUUCAUCUGAGCACCGUGGACCCCGUAAUUUCUGUGGGGCUUUCUGUGUCAUUGUUUAUUGGAUGUUCUGGAAUGAGAGCUCCUACCUCUUCUUUGGCGCAACAGUUUCCUAAAGAAGUUGAGUGUUCAGAGGUUGGCCUGGCGUCCCACUUGGCGUGAGAUCUGACCAAACGUUCUCUGGUGUCCAGCUUUUUCUCUCACUCAACACGGCGUUCUCCAGCCUCGUCCACGCAGCUGUGUGUUCCUUGAGAUGUGGAGCAGCAUGGCUGACCCCCGGACGAUGCGGGGCUAAGGGGCGCCGACGCCCGCACAGCUGAAAAUCUGCGUGUCACUUCUGACCCCCCAGAGCUGAACCACUAAUCGCCCACUGCUGACUGGCAGACUUACCCGGACAAACACGGGACGAACUCAUAUGUUGUUUGCAUGUAUGUGAUGUGUAUCAUAUGCUGCGUUCCUACAAUAAAGCAAGCUAGA